rnacentral:tRNA from 1 species
GGUCGCCGCGGCGAGGAUCGUGCCUCCGACGCUGAUGCCGGCGGCCGGCUCGCCCGCGGUCCCGCCCGCGGCGGGGAUCA